rnacentral:piRNA from 1 species
ACUUGUAGAGCUGAACUCAGUUACUGUGC